rnacentral:lncRNA from 1 species
CCGCCAACAGCUAUUUCAGCUUCUUGAACUCUUUACCAGUAAAGUCAUCAUAGCCAAAAGUCAUCACGCAACAUCAGCUCCUCCAGAUUCUCAACCGUAGGGAUAGUGCGGGCAACAAUCUCUGCUACAUCAUCUUCAGAUAGUUCCUCACCGCCAAAGGGUGUUUCCUCAAUGCCACUGUCACAAGCUUCAUGAAGUCUUCUCACCAUCUCAGUUUGACACCUUCUCCUUGUUUGUUCUAACAUGUGUAGUCAUCCAUGAAUCCUAGAAAAAUUAGGUAUGGACUGACCACUGAUUCAAGUACUGCUUCUUAUUCUUACAGUCAACACAAGGGCACAACAUAGAUGACUUAUCUCCAUUCCUUAUGUGUCCGCCUCUGCUAGGAAAUAUUUGAGUCCUUCCAAGUACUCAUCAGAAGUACAAUUCUUAACAUAGAUCCAGUGGCCUCGAUCCUCCAUAGUGUACAGAAAAGAUUGAAAAUGGAAGAAUAUAAGGAAAUUCAUCAAUCCUUUAGUAAUACAAGUCACAUUUUCAAUAGACUUAGUUUGCAUUGCAAUCAUUUAUCUUAGUUUCACACAAGCUCACCACUGCUCACAGAGAGAAGCACACACCAGCAAAUUGAAAACUAGAGGAGAUGAAAGCACUAGAUACCCAGUGCAAGUCACUAGUAACUGACCUUGUUGGUGUUCUUGGAC